AGCCCAUCUCUAGCUCAACCACCCCCCUAAACAAUUAAUUACGCACCUAAACUAAAACAUUCUCCACACCUAGUAUAGGCGAUAGAAAAGUAACUUGACGCGAUAGAGAUCUUAGUACCGUAAGGGAAAGAUGAAAUAACAAUGAAAAACCAAUAAGCAGAAAACAGCAAAGAUCAACCCUUGUACCUUUUGCAUCAUGAUUUAGCGAGAAAACCCAAGCAUAAUGACUUUAAGCUUGCCACCCCGAAACCCAAGCGAGCUACUUACGAGCAGCUUCCAUUGGAGCAAACCCGUCUCUGUGGCAAAAGAGUGGGAAGACUUGUUAGUAGAGGUGAAAAGCCAACCGAGCUGGGUGAUAGCUGGUUGCCUGUGAAAUGAAUCUUAGUUCCCCCCUAAUCUCUCCCCCGGGAUGUACAAUUUACCCCUAUCUGAGGAAAAAUUAGGAGCUAUUUAAAGGAGGUACAGCUCCUUUAAAAAAGAACACAGUCUCUGCCAGAGGGUAAACUAUUUUCCCACCCCACAUGUAGGCCUUCAAGCAGCCACCAAUAAAGAGUGCGUCAAAGCUCUCUACCCCAAAGAUCCAAAAACAUCGUGACCCCCUCACCCUUAACAGGCUAACCUAUGACUAUAGGAGUAUUAAUGCUAGAAUGAGUAAUUGGAAGCCCCUUCUCUUAAGCGCCAGCUUACAUUAUAUAUUAUUAACAGACCCACUCAUACCGCUACCAUAACAAGACCCAAUAUUAUAAUACCCUGUUAACCCGACUCAGGAGCGCUUUCUAGAAAGAUUAAAAUCUGCAAAAGGAACUAGGCAAAUCAAGGGCCCGACUGUUUACCAAAAACAUAGCCUUCAGCCAACAACAAGUAUUGAAGGUGAUGCCUGCCCAGUGACUCACGUUCAACGGCCGCGGUAUCCUAACCGUGCAAAGGUAGCG
rnacentral:rRNA from 1 species